GAUGAACGCUAGCUACAGGCUUAACACAUGCAAGUCGAGGGGUAACGAGAGGAAAGCUUGCUUUCCUUGUCGACGACCGGCGCACGGGUGAGUAACGAGUAUCCAACCUGCCCCCAACUAGGGAAUAACCUUGCGAAAGUAAGACUAAUACCCUAUAAUUUCCUCAGAUGUCAUCUGGCGAGGAAUAAAGAUUUAUCGGUUGUGGAUGGAGAUGCGUCUGAUUAGCUUGUUGGCGGGGUAACGGCCCACCAAGGCAACGAGCAGGAGGGGUUCUGGGAGGAAGGUCCCCCACAUUGGAACUGAGACACGGUCCAAACUCCUACGGGAGGCAGCAGUGAGGAAUAUUGGUCAAUGGGCGGAAGCCUGAACCAGCCAAGUAGCGUGCAGGAUGACGGCCCUAUGGGUUGUAAACUGCUUUUAUACAGGAAUAAAGUUAGCCACGUGUGGUUAUUUGUAGGUACUGUAUGAAUAAGGACCGGCUAAUUCCGUGCCAGCCGCCGCGGUAA
rnacentral:rRNA from 1 species